UAAGGUGAUGACAGCGUGAGGGCUCCACCUCUUCCCAUUCCGAACAGAGAAGUUAAACCUCACCGCGCCGAUGGUACUGCGAAAGUGGGAGAGUAGGUCAUCGCCACCU
rnacentral:rRNA from 1 species